CAUAAGUAAUUGUUAACUUGUGAGAAGUAAUGCAAUUGACUAUCUGUUAACUUUCGUCAUUGACCAUUAAUGAUCUGCGUUAGCAAGUAACCACUUCACUAACCUUUUCUCUAGUACUAAAGGAUAGGCAUACCGAGAGGGCGUAACCCAUUACUUCAAUAAUGGAUUUUUAGUGUUAAAAACAAAUCUUAUUAUUAAUUAAAUCAAAUAUUUGUAUAAAAUUAAAAUAUAUUGUUAACAAUUUUAUAAAUAUAUACUGCUUUUCUGUGUAUUUUUAAAACCCCAACAAAUGGAAGAUUUACUAUUGUGUAAGGACAAGACCUGGGCCUAGCGAUACAGUAGUACACGAUAGCAUCAUGGAUUAUGGACGUGCUUUUGUGUAUUUCAAAAUUAAGAAAAUAUAUAAACUACAGUAUACAGAAAUUUAUGGAAAAGCCACAACAUACAAACCUUUACAAGAUUUGCAUCUACAGAGCUGCACUGAGAUUAUAUAAGGGAGAAGUUUAGAAUACCACUGAAAUACAGACAAAGCGCAUAAAGACCUUCCAUCAACGCUGUCUUGGAACGCUGUUGUGUUAAAAGAAUAUCGAUGUUCUCAAGACUGGCGAAUACUACUUAUUUAUGUUGCAUAACAUCUGUGAGACUCCAUUGGUCUUUUGAGAUGGACUCUUACCUACUGUACUCAUUCUACUUUAAUGGCAGAAGAUCACAGUGCAUAUUAAAAACAAAAGAAUUUUGGUUCAAAGUUGCCAACGAGGAUGUUUAAUUACUGAAAAUUCAUCAGAACAAGCUACCGUUUUAACUGAAAAACAUUGAGGAUUCUGAGACUUGAUGAACCUGAUAUCGACAACCAGUCACCUUAUAUAUAAAGACUGCUGAAAAUGUUUUGAAACCAAGCCUUGUAUUGUGAGAUGAAAUUUUUGUUUGACCUAAACCUGGAAUUUAAAGUACAAACCUAGCAUUAAAUACUUUCUACUUUAUAGUGUUUAAUUUAAUUGCUGUGCAAUGAGAAUGAAGUAUACAUAUUACAUACUGUGCAAUUCUUAAAAAUUGCUCAGGAAAAAUGUUCUGUUGGCCCCCCCCC